ACCCUUUGGGGUGUGACUGCGUACCUUUUGUAUAAUGGGUCAGCGACUUAUAUUCUGUAGCAAGGUUAACCGUAUAGGGGAGCCGUAGGGAAACCGAGUCUUAACCGGGCGUUAAGUUGCAGGGUAUAGACCCGAAACCCGGUGAUCUAGCCAUGGGCAGGUUGAAGGUUGGGUAACACUAACUGGAGGACCGAACCGACUAAUGUUGAAAAAUUAGCGGAUGACCUGUGGCUGGGGGUGAAAGGCCAAUCAAACCGGGAGAUAGCUGGUUCUCCCCGAAAGCUAUUUAGGUAGCGCCUCGUGAAUUCAUCUCCGGGGGUAGAGCACUGUUUCGGCUAGGGGGCCAUCCCGGCUUACCAACCCGAUGCAAACUGCGAAUACCGGAGAAUGUUAUCACGGGAGACACACGGCGGGUGCUAACGUCCGUCGUGAAGAGGGAAACAACCCAGACCGCCAGCUAAGGUCCCAAAGUCAUGGUUAAGUGGGAAACGAUGUGGGAAGGCCCAGACAGCCAGGAUGUUGGCUUAGAAGCAGCCAUCAUUUAAAGAAAGCGUAAUAGCUCACUGGUCGAGUCGGCCUGCGCGGAAGAUGUAACGGGGCUAAACCAUGCACCGAAGCUGCGGCAGCGACACUCAGGUGUUGUUGGGUAGGGGAGCGUUCUGUAAGCCUGUGAAGGUGGCCUGUGAGGG
rnacentral:rRNA from 1 species